rnacentral:rRNA from 1 species
UGAGGAAUAUUGGUCAAUGGGCGGAAGCCUGAACCAGCCAAGUCGCGUGAGGGAAGACGGUCCUAUGGAUUGUAAACCUCUUUUGCAGGGGAGCAAGACUGUUACGUGUAACAGGUCGGAGAGUACCCUGAGAAAAAGCAUCGGCUAACUCCGUGCCAGCAGCCGCGGUAAUACGGAGGAUGCGAGCGUUAUCCGGAUUUAUUGGGUUUAAAGGGUGCGUAGGCGGGCUGGUAAGUCAGCGGUAAAAAUGCGGUGCUCAACGCCGUAGUGCCGUUGAAACUGCCGGUCUUGAGUGAGCGAGAAGUAUGCGGAAUGCGUGGUGUAGCGGGUGAAAUGCAUAGAUAUCACGCAGAACUCCGAUUGCGAAGGCAGCAUACCGGCGCUCAACUGACGCUGAGGCACGAAAGCGUGGGGAUCGAACAGGAUUAGAUACC